rnacentral:rRNA from 1 species
CAUUUCCUACGGGAGGCAGCAGUGAGGAAUAUUGGUCAAUGGGCGGAAGCCUGAACCAGCCAAGUCGCGUGAGGGAAGAAGGCCCUGCGGGUCGCAGACCUCUUUGGACGGGGAGCAAGGCCGCCGACGUGUCGGCGGAAGGAGAGUACCCGUAGAACAAGCAUCGGCUAACUCCGUGCCAGCAGCCGCGGUAAUACGGAGGAUGCAAGCGUUGUCCGGAAUCAUUGGGCGUAAAGAGUUCGUAGGCGGUAUGUUAAGUCUGGUGUUAAAUGCAGAAGCUCAACUUCUGUUCGGCACUGGAUACU